GCUGGGUGUGGUGCCUCACACCUGUAAUCCCAGCUACUCAGGAGGCUGAGGCAGGAGGAUCACUUAAACCCAGGAGUUCAAGGCUUCAGUGAGCUAUGAUGGCACCACUGUACUCCAGCCUGGGCAAUGAAGUGAGACUUUGUCUCUA
ensembl:misc_RNA Metazoa_SRP Metazoan signal recognition particle RNA